rnacentral:misc_RNA from 1 species
AUCCUGAGGAUCUUUUCUUGGAUGAGCAAAAACAAUGGCCAAUCCCACCAAGAGAGCCGAUAUAAGAAGAGAUCCAACGCUGGUGAGGAAAACCACAACCACGCUAAAGACAAUAAGCAACCCGAGGGUUUCACGAUCGGUGAAGGUACGGCCAAAGAGAACGAGAGGCUGAUCAGAAGGGCGGAAAAGAUAGAGAAAUAGCCAAGAGGCCAGGAGUACAAGAAGGAGCAAGAGUGACAAGGGAUGGGAAAGCAAAGAGAAAGCCAAGAUGAGGGCAAUGACGGUCAAGUAAUUAACGCGGAAGUAGGAAUAAUUCUUGCGGACACGUAGAGCAGCCUCAGAGAAGGAUUCAGGUUUG